AUUGAACGCUGGCGGCAGGCCUAACACAUGCAAGUCGAACGGUAGCACAGAGAGCUUGCUCUCGGGUGACGAGUGGCGGACGGGUGAGUAAUGUCUGGGAAACUGCCUGAUGGAGGGGGAUAACUACUGGAAACGGUAGCUAAUACCGCAUAACGUCGCAAGACCAAAGAGGGGGACCUUCGGGCCUCUUGCCAUCAGAUGUGCCCAGAUGGGAUUAGCUAGUAGGUGGGGUAACGGCUCACCUAGGCGACGAUCCCUAGCUGGUCUGAGAGGAUGACCAGCCACACUGGAACUGAGACACGGUCCAGACUCCUACGGGAGGCAGCAGUGGGGAAUAUUGCACAAUGGGCGCAAGCCUGAUGCAGCCAUGCCGCGUGUAUGAAGAAGGCCUGGUGUAAGUAUUACUAGCGGGAGGAAGGUAGGUUGGUGGUUAGUAACGUACAACGAC
rnacentral:rRNA from 1 species